rnacentral:rRNA from 1 species
AUUGAACGCUGGCGGCAGGCCUAACACAUGCCAGUCGAGCGGAUGAAGGGAGCUUGCUCCUGGAUUCAGCGGCGGACGGGUGAGUAAUGCCUAGGAAUCUGCCUGGUAGUGGGGGAUAACGUCCGGAAACGGGCGCUAAUACCGCAUACGUCCUGAGGGAGAAAGUGGGGGACCUUCGGACCUCACGCUAUCAGAUGAGCCUAGGUCGGAUUAGCUAGUUGGUGGGGUAAAGGCCUACCAAGGCGACGAUCCGUAACUGGUCUAAGAGGAUGAUCAGUCACACUGGAACUGAGACACGGUCCAGACUCCUACGGGAGGCAGCAGUGGGGAAUAUUGGACAAUGGGCGAAAGCCUGAUCCAGCCAUGCCGCGUGUGUGAAGAAGGUCUUCGGAUUGUAAAGCACUUUAAGUUGGGAGGAAGGGCAGUAAGUUAAUACCUUGCUGUUUUGACGUUACCAACAGAAUAAGCACCGGCUAACUUCGUG